GGAGUCACCACCUAGGGUCUCCUGUUCUCCCUCAUGUCCGUCAAUUCCACUAGUCAUCACCAUAGUGAAUCUCUCAGCAACACAGGGUCAAGCUGAACAGCCAGGUGGCCUUGCACCAGGUGUACCAAUACGCCAGCAAGUACUACGAUGGGCUGAGCGCUCCCUGAAACACAGCGCCCGAUUGGCUGGAGUUUAUUUAGAUUGGGUUCCACGCUGCGUCAGAGCCCCAUUGGCUGGCAUUUCAGGCACUGUUGAAGUGUGUGCAAAGGAUCAAGGGAAGUACUCACAUAGGAGCCUGUCUGUCUGCCCCUCUGUCUGCCUGUCGGUAAACUUAUUAGCAGAGGUGAAGGACUUCCGGCUCAGGGGAUGUAUUCAUGUGGAUAUAUUUAUGAACACCCAGGUGGUCGAUAUAUAUCAUCAAAUAAGUGCAGACUACUGUGCAGAUUGGUAACCUAAUCUAGAAAGUUCCACCCUUUAGCCCAAAAGCACACAGAGCAGGAAAGUCUUUCUUUAUUUGUCAUGCCUGCCAAAAUACAAAAUAGAAUCAUGUGUUUUAACUCCCAGUCUAUUUUGGAUGUGGAAAUUUCGACGUAUUCGGAAUAUACGUUUUUUAUGAAUUUUCUUCCAAAUUCUUUUGGGCCUUUGUCAGGAGAAGCCGAACGACGUGGGGCCGUUGAAGCUGAACUGACGUGGCGAACUCUCCCUUCUCCC
ensembl:lncRNA